UCUGGUGAGGCGUGAGCACAGAGACUACCUCAGAUUCCUGUGGCACAAAGACGCUGACCUGUCCAAGGAGAUUGAGGAGUAUCGUACGGAGGUGCAUGUCUUUGGCAACAGCCAGUCCCCGGCGGUCGCCAUCUAUGGCCUGCGGCGAGCUGCUCAAGAGGGUGAACAAAGAGAAAUGACUCCAAGUUGGUACUUAAAGCUGAUAGGACAGACAGAGAGAGGAAGGACAGAGAGAGGACAGACAGAGAGAGGACAGAGAAGAUUGAGCGCGCUCAGAGCUGGCUUACCUGCAUCUCCUCUCCAACAGGAUAUCACCAGGUCAAUAAGGGAUCUGGAGAUGGAAAUUGUGGAAUUGCAGAACUUAGCAGAAUUGCUCUGCUACUGGACGAGAACUCAGGGAUUCGAAUGAGAUAUGUAGUGGGUUUCUACUCACAGCAGUGAGUACAAAGAACAACUGUUUGAAUCCUUCUGUGACAGGUUGCCCAAAGUCCCAGAAGACAUGGACAUUGUACUUGAACAACCACAGGUAUUGAAAACGCACUUCCUGUUUUAAUCUGGGCUGAUUUUAGGUUUUAUAAGGAAUAACACUGAUGCUUUUCUAAAACAGUGGUGCUAUAAAGAUGUAUUAUGUUCUGUAGUAGGAGAUGAUUUAAUAUUUGAAGGAAUAUUUAGAUAUGGGUGUGAUUGUUUGUAGUGUAAAUUACCUGUUUUAUUAGGUGUAAUAUUUUCUGU